rnacentral:rRNA from 1 species
AAUUUUGGCCAAUGGGGGAAACCCUGAUCUAGCCAUCCCGCGUGUGCGCUCAACGCCUUCGGGUUGUAAAGCACUUUUGUCAGGGAAGAAAAGGUCCUGGCUAAUACCCGGAACUGAUGACGGUACCUGAAGAAUAAGCACCGGCUAACUACGUGCCAUCAGCCGCGGUAAUACGUAGGGUGCAAGCGUUAAUCGGAAUUACUGGGCGUAAAGAGGGCAAAGGCGGUUCGGAAAGAAGGAUGUGAAAUCCCAGGGCUCAACCUUGGAACUGCAUUCUUAACUACCGAACUAGAGUAUGUCAGAGGGGGGUAGAAUUCCGCGUGUAGCAGUGAAAUGCGUAGAUAUGCGGAGGAAUACCGAUGGCGAAGGCAGCCCCCUGGGCCGAUACUGACGCUCAUGCACGAAAGCGUGGGUAGCAAGCAGG